rnacentral:lncRNA from 1 species
UUUCUCCUGAGUGCAUACAAUUAAUACAAGUUAAAAUAAUUUAUAAUAUAGUGAUAUAGUGGGGCAUCGAACUCUGGAUCAUUGAAAAAUGUGGGUGCACCUUAACCAAAUAAGCUAUUUCAACCAAUACAUACAAUGUAAAAACAUAUUAAAUAAAGAUAAUAGGGGGUGCACGUGCACCCAGACUCUUCCACCUAGCUUCGCCCCUG